GGAUGGGAUUCGGGAUGGAGCUCUGAAUGGAGCAGAGGGAAGAGGUCUCCCAGCCUACGCGACAGAAGUGAGGUCGGGGAGAGGGCCCCGGGCGUGUGCCAGUUCCGUCCACACGUAUUCCCUGCGCUGGGGGGCGGGGAGCGCCUGAAGGUGUGUGCAGGAGGUGUCCCCAGGAGCUCGGCGCGGGUAUGGGGGAGAGGGGGUUGGUAGGUAGCACGUCCCCGGGAAAGCGGGACUUGCGCCGCCCGGGUCCCCUCACCUCUUGCAGGGCGCGCCGCCGCCCCCGGUCCGAUCGCGCUGUCGCCGGUUCUUGAACCAGUUGCUGACCUGCGUGAGCGAGAGGCCGGUGAGCGUGGCCAGGCGGCGCUUCUCGUCCGGCGUAGGGUAGCGGUUGCCGCGAUAGCAGGCCUUAAGCGCGGCGCGGGAGCGCUCCUUGAAGCAGUAGACGGUCUCCUCGCCGUCCCAUAUGGUCUUGGGCAGAGGGAACUUCUUGCGCAGACGGUACUUGUCCACUGCGCCCAGCGCGCGGCCGCGGGCUCGCUCGGCCUCGUGGUAGCGCGCGCGCAGGUAGAGGUCCUGCAGAAAGGCGUGGUGGGCGGCGGGGAAGGGGCGGCUCUCGAGCAGUCGGUAGAGCUCGGCGUACUCGCCUCGCUGGAAGGCCACCAGGGCCCGAGCGCGCAGCACCGGAUCGCUGCCACGUAGGCGCUCGGCCGGGGGCAGUGCGCCCAGGAAGCGGCUCAAGCGGCCGGCGUGGCCCGCCUGUAGCAGCGCCUCGCAAACGCACGCCACCUGCUCGGGCGAGAAGCGGAGGCCCGUGGGCGGCUCGGCAGCGGCCUCGGGGGGCGACCCGGGGACGCCCGGGGAUCCCGGGCCCUCCGCUCCCGCCGCCGCUUCGCCCGCCCCGGCCCCGGCUGCGGCCGCCGCCUCACCCUCGGCCGCCUGCAAAGUCUGCAGGAGCUGGCGCGCUUCCUCCUCCUCUUCUUCGGUCGCCGCCGCCGCCACCGCCUCCCCCCCAGCCGCCGGCCCCGCGCUCGGCUCCGCAGGCAAGGUAGCCAUGUUUUGCAACUUUGGGAAGUUCCUCCCUCCUUCUCCUCCUCCCUCGGGCUUUCCCCAGCCCCCCCCCCCCCCCCCCCCCCCCCCCCCCCUCCCCCCCCCCCCCCCCCCCCCCCCCCCCCCCUCCCCCCCCCCCCCCCCCCCCCCCCCCCCCCCUCCCCCCCCCCCCCCCCCCCCCNNNNNNNNNNNNNNNNNNNNCCCCCCCAGCCGCCGGCCCCGCGCUCGGCUCCGCAGGCAAGGUAGCCAUGUUUUGCAACUUUGGGAAGUUCCUCCCUCCUUCUCCUCCUCCCUCGGGCUUUCCCCAGCCCCCUCCCCCGCCCGUCCCCCCCCCUCCGCCCUCCCCUUCGCGCUUCCCGAUCUUCCACCCCCCGCCGACCCCGCGUCUCCCCCAGCAGUGCCAGGCCCAGCUCUCCACUAGGGUCUCUGUCCCAGUGUCUGUGUGUGUGCCCGCCCCCCUCCCCGUCUGUCCGUGAUUCUCCUUUUGUUUUCCCUCCGCCUCAGGCCGCGCUUUUUCCUCCCCCCGCGUGUGCCUCAGGCUGAGGGCCUCAGUUUCCCCAUCGGGACAACGGAGAAGGUAACGGGCCGUCCGGGAAGGCUAAGGGCGCGAAGCCACCUCCGCCCCGAGACUAAGCUUCUGCACGCCUCCGUCUCCAGAGUCCUCUGAAGGCCCCCCCAUGCCCCAUCUCGGCCCGCGCUCCGCCCCUCGGAAUUCCCGGCUCCGCAGGGGGGCGGGUCCGGCAGGGAGAAGGGGCGGGGGAAACGGGCUAGAAAGUUUGCAGCAACUUUUCUCGAGCUAGUCGCUGGGACCGAGUCGCGUGGCCCGCGCAAGCGCAGUAGUAGGAGGAUGGCCGCGCGCGCGCGCGCGCGCAGCCGGCCCAACCCCCUUCUUGCCGGCCUGCGGGUGGCACAGCUGGGCCACAGCUGGGCAAGGGGCGGUGCCUCCGGGCGGCUCGCUAGCCACCUCCUAUUGGCCGGAUGCCGAAGCCACGCCUUUCAGCGUCCCCACCCCCAUCCCCAGCCCCGAUUCGUCUGCUUGGCGGCCCUGUAGCUUCUUGCCAGGCCAUUGGGCGCCUGCACUCGCCUUCCAAUUGGCCCACUGAGCAGCCUCGUUCCCGCAACGCAAAGAGAGCGGACACCGCGGAGUCCAGAGCGUUGGGCAGACGGGAGGGCCUUUUAUUCGCGAGGAUCGGGGGUGGGGUCCUAGGUGUGGAGAGACAAUAAAUACUGAGGAAUGUCGGGGUCUCAGUGCAUCCAAAACGUGGAUUAGGGUGCUGGGGUCCUGGAACUUGGCGGGUCGGAGGACAGGUCAAUAAAUACCCAAACUGCCGAGGCGGGCGGAGCCUGCUGUGGCCCCGAGAGCUACGUACGUGAGGAGGGCGCGCGAGUCCCCGAAAAAGCGGGGCUGGCGAAAGCAAAAGGUUCUCGAGAAGGCGGGCGGGGCUCGCACUAGACGUUCGCCGCGGGAAGAGAACAUUCCCGGGAUAGUAGGGCCUCAUGCACAGGGAUUUGUGGUCUGCGAGCCGAUAGGCGGGGGGCGCGUGGAGGGUGAAAAACUGAUGGCCGAGCCCUGGCCCUGCUGUCUCCUCUAGAUCGCAGUUUGCCCAUCCACGGCGGGGCCUCAGCCAGGCCGGAGUUAGUAGGUGGUUGGUCUGCGAUUCUCCCCAGCAGCAACUGCAGCAUUCCCGGUUACAAGCCUCCCUGGAGCCUCCUGCUCCUCCCUCCCCGGCCGCCAGGGGGCGGGCCCGGAUCACAGGGCUGGAGCUCGGGCGGAGACCCACGCUGGGAGGCGCUGUGAACCGGGAGGCGGUAGGAAUGGCUUCUGCGCCGUGCCCAGGUCACCCAACCCUCCAGCUUGGGGUCCUAGGGUUCAGGGGGCGAAGGCGGCUCCCGGGUGGCGCCAGACCGGGGCGAGGUGGUGGGCGCAGGCCACCAACCCAGUGCAGCCCAAGGCGGCGGCAGCAGCCAGAGCAACGGCGAACAGGAGCAGGGAACGCGCCUCCGAUAGGUCAGGCUUAGGGACCUGCGGACAAGAGGGCGUGAUCAGGUCUUGGCGGCACGGCCCCCCGAUUGGCUCCUGGGACUCGCCACGCCCACGCCUAUAGGUGGGUUCACAAUCCUCUCUCGUCCCGCCCCGCCCCGCCCCCGCGGGCAGUUGCGGUUGGUCCGCGGGCAAGCUUCAAGUCUCGUCCGAACUCGCCACUGGCUGCUUCCUAGCGGCCUGAGCUGAUUGGCUGCCCGCGCAUCCUCCCUCCCCGCGGCGGCCCCGCUCGACAGAGGCGCAGCUAAGCAAAGGAGGCUUGGGGUGCUUGGUGCGAGGAGGGGGCGCGGCGGCGGGCGGGCGUGAGCAGCCGGACGUACCCUGGCAGGGAGCAGCAGGUGGCGGCGGUGCAUGGGGCCUGGCCCCACCAGCGGGCAUUGGCCCAGAGCCACGGCCGGGGGGCCAUCUAGCUGGAGAGAGAAGGGAUAGGUGACCCGAUCGGAGCCCAGCCCGGCCCGGCCGCCCUCGGCAGGAGGCGAGAGACAGCGAACGGAGUCGGGGAGGGAAUCUAGGGAGAUCCUAGAUGGGAUCUGGUUAGAGGCCCGGACCGAGGGCUGUCUGGUAGACGUGGGGCUGAGUGGAGGGUGUCUGCCGUCUGGAACCCCAAAGACAUAGGGUGAUCCCUAAAUCCGGACGGGGAGACGGGGCCGGGGUUGCAGAGGGGCCAGCAGGCUUGAUACAGGGGAAAAAAGAGGGGUCUUACAUGGGAAGGUGCAUCCGUGGCCCGGGGACUGGGGACCCCCGUGACAGCUGGAAGGAGAAGAGAGAGGCGUAGGGCGCGUGGAGGGACGGAGGAGGGCGGUGGCGCGGCGUGCCCCAGCCUGGACCCCUCGCCCUCCCCCAGGUGUCCACACACGCCGCGGGCCCACCUCCCCCCGUCGCCCUCGGGAAAGGGGACGGAUGGGGGACUCGCCUGCGUCUCCCCCGGCCUGCAGCAGCUCCAUCCGCUCCUGCAGCUGCCGGACGCGCGCCUCCAGGUCUCGGUUCCGGGCCUCGGCCUCACGGAGCUGACUGCGGGGAGGGAAAGACCGUGAGCCCUUCCGGACCGGACCUGAGCGAGACGGGCUGCCGACGGUAGCGACCAGCCCCGGCGCCCCGGCCCCGACCUGGCAAAGCUCUGGUUGGCUGUGCGGAUGGCCUCCAGCUCCCGGCUCAGGCUCUGCCGUGUAAGCACCUCCUCCUCCAGGGCCUCCUGGAGCUCCCGCAGCGUCACCUGGGCCUCCGCCGCCACCGCCGCCGCCGCCGCCGCCGCCGCCGCCGCGGGAACGGCCUCCGGAGCUGCCGCUUCGGCCUGCGUGCGGGACCUGG
rnacentral:lncRNA from 1 species